rnacentral:rRNA from 1 species
AUACGGAGGGUGCAAACGUUGUUCGGAAUCACUGGGCAUAAAGAGCUCGUAGGCGGCUGUGCAAGUGUGAAGUGAAAUCCCACGGCUCACCCGUGGAACUGCUUUGCAGACUGCACGGCUAGAGGAUGGUAGGGGAGAGCGGAACUCCUGGUGGAGCGGUGAAAUGCGUAGAUAUCAGGAGGAACACCGGUGGCGAAGGCGGCUCUCUGGUCCAUUCCUGACGCUGAGGAGCGAAAGCUAGGGUAGCGAACGGGAUUAGAAACCCCUGUAGUCC